AUCCUGGGGCUGUAGGUGGUCCCAAGGGUUGGGCUGUUCGCCCAUUAAAGCGGUACGCGAGCUGGGUUCAGACCGGCGUGAGCCAGGUCGGUCCCUAUCUGCCAUGGUCGUAGCAACGUUGAUAGGAUCUUUCCUUAGUACGAGAGGAUUGGGAAGGACCAACCCCUGGUGCGCCAGUUGGCCCGCUCGGGCCACAGCUGGGUAGCUAAGUUGGGCAGGGAUAACCGCUGAAAGCAUCUAAGCGGGAAGCCCCCCUAGAGAUGAGCGUUGCAUUGAGACCCCCGGAAGACUACCGGGUUGAUAGGCCGCACGUGCAAGGGCAGAGAUGUCCUCAGCGAAGCGGUACUAAUGGUCAAGUCCCGUGAUCAU
rnacentral:rRNA from 1 species